ACACACACACACACACACACACACACUUCAUAUAUUAGUAUAUGCACCCAUGUCUAUAUUUGAAGACCCACUUUCAAUACUGCCUAGGACAAACAAACAAAGUAUUGUGUGUACUACCUAUUGCUGAUAAGUUAAUCAUCGGGCUGGAAUCACCCAUACUUCAUUCCAAAUAUAUAUGCGAGCUUAAGCUCAACUAAGCACUCAAACAAGUUCGAAUAUAACAACAUGAGUAUGCACACGGGCUAGAAUGAGUGAUUCGUUCAUUUUCCAAAAAACAUUUCUGCACAUAUUUGUAAUGUGAGAAGUUUUCACACUAUUUUCAAAUGUUUAUUUAGAUAUGGCUUCGCAUUAGAUUCUCUUGAUGAACUGUCAACUUGUUUAACCAAAGGCCAUGAAAAUCUGUGUGCUGGCUAAUAGAGCAGCUAAUCUAAUGGUAUUGGUGUUGUUGGAUAUGGUGACUGAUCAAGAAAUGCAUAUUCGAAUCGCAAUGUUCGGAGGACCAAUUUUCCGCGCAUUGUUCGUUGACCCACAAGUUUAUCUGUAGCACAAGCAGCUGCCUGGCCUAGUCGAUAUAGCCUGAGCCUGGUGGAAUUCUCGAAAAUACAAACCAGAUGAUAAGGCCUUGUAUGCCUCAUGGGCUAGCAGGUGUACCACCUGAAGCGUCGCAACCUUUGAAUCAUAUCAUGCUAGACUUUAUAAGUAUACAGAGUUGUUUUGAUCGGAGACUGGCUGUUAAAUAUAUCAUAUGGAGCAAUCAUAAGACGCAGCCCUUGAGGGACGGCAUACGCCCAAUUGU